rnacentral:rRNA from 1 species
GAUGAACGCUAGCUAUAGGCUUAACACAUGCAAGUCGAGGGACCGGCGCACGGGUGAGUAACGCGUAUCCAACCUGCCCAUAACUAAGGGAUAACCCAGCGAAAGUUGGACUAAUACCUUAUGGUUAUGGAUGGGGAUGCGUCUGAUUAGCUUGGUGGCGGGGUAACGGCCCACCAAGGCAACGAUCAGGAGGGGUUCUGAGAGGAAGGGCCCCCACAUUGGAACUGAGACCCGGUCCAAACUGCGACGGGAGGCAGGAGUGAGGAACAUUGGGCAAUGGAGGCAAGUCUGAACCAGCCAAGUAGCGUGAAGGAUGACGGCGUAUGGGUUGUAAACCGCUUUUAUAUGGGGAUAGGUACCAUAUGAAUAAGGACCGGCUAAUUCCGUGCCAGCAGCCGCGGUAAUUC